rnacentral:rRNA from 1 species
UACGAAGGGAGCUGGCGUUGUUCGGAAUCACUGGGCGUAAAGCGCACGUAGGCGGAUGUGUCAGUCAGGGGUGAAAUCCCGGAGCUCAACUUCGGAACUGCCCUUGAUACAGCACGUCUUGAGUCCGGAAGAGGUGGGUGGAAUUCCUAGUGUAGAGGUGAAAUUCGUAGAUAUUAGGAAGAACACCGGUGGCGAAGGCGGCCCACUGGUCCGGUACUGACGCUGAGGUGCGAAAGCGUGGGGAGCGAACAGG